rnacentral:rRNA from 1 species
UGGGAUGAUGUCAAGUCAGCAUGGCCUUUAUAUCCUGGGCUACACACACGCUACAAUGGCAGAUACAAUAGGUUGCGAAACCGCGAGGUGGAGCCAAUCCUCAAAGUCUGUCUCAGUUCAGAUUGUAGGCUGCAACUCGCCUGCAUGAAGUUGGAGUUGCUAGUAAACGCAGGUCAGCUAUACUGCGUUGAACGUACCGUUCCCGGGGUUU